rnacentral:lncRNA from 1 species
CGCAGCCCGGAUCAGACCGGGAGAUAAAAGCCCCGAUGGUGACCGUGAGUGAUGGCAAGAGGAUUUAGCCUCGGCAUUAACUUGGAGCGGAGUGCAGGGGGGCGGUGAGGCGCCCCGCCAUCUGGCCGGCGCCGCGCCAGGGGGAUGUUCAGGCGCCUGGACCAGCAGCGGCGAAGCCCACCCAGGCCAGGGGCUGAGUGGGGCGCGCGUGCAGGUUCUCCCCUGGCUGCCCAGGGGGCCCCAAAAGUUUGCACUUGUUAACAGCGACCUCCCGAUCGGCCCGGGAGGGCCAUGCAAGCCGCGCGGUUGGCCCCCUUCCCUGGCCCGCGUCUCCGGGACGGCUGCGGGCGGGCCCCCCGGCGGCCCGAGGGUUCCCCAGCCCAGAUCUGAGGGUGGCCACCGCAGCGGCGGCGCGGGGCAGGAGUCUCCAGCUCUCAACCCUGCGGCCCGUGCGCCCACCCAGCACCAGCCAGAGGGUGGCGGUCUCCGGCCUCUCGGGGCUCGCUCCGGGAAGCUGCUCCGAGCCCGGGUGCUGCUGCUAAUGAACACAUUCUCUCUCUUUUCUCUUCACAAUGAAAGCCAAGCCUGAGCCCAGGUACCUGGAUGAAGUGAGAGUUGAAGUCUCCGGAAUUUCACAAUAAGUGGCCAAUGGCUAUGAGCCAAGGUCAGCUGGCCCCCGUGCCUUGGCCCCAUACCAGAGCAGAGGCAAAUGGCCUCUCCAGUUAGCACCUCAGUGGCUUUUUGUAUAGUCCAUUCACAGGGUUGUUGUCACUUUCAGCCCAUAUGAAAAGAAAUCUUUUUAUUGGUCUGAGAGACCAAGUCCAGUCCCAAAGAGGGGACUGUGUCCAUCUAACACGCCCACCUCCUGAUUCCGUGUUAUCUUCACCGUGCAGGCUGGUAUGCGGUUGUGUGCAGCACGUCGCACAUUAAGGGCCCUUUAAAGACCUGGAUUGAUUGGAAGGACAAAAAUUAAAAGCAAUCUGAUCCAGCCCCAUGCCGGAUCCCUGCAGAUUUCCUCCUUAUCCCAUUUCCAUCCACUGUCACAAUUUGAGAGUCUGCCCGAUUUGAUCAGCUUCACCUCCAGGGGAGGUGUAACACCAAGGUUAGGAGGACACCAAGUUACAGGCAACUUUUUGAUCUGCCCAUCAGCAGCCUGAGAAACGCUGGCUCUGGAUUUUCUGUAUCAGCCAUUUGGAAAACACAAGCUCCCACUAUUGGCAGACCUGCAGUGCUUAAGUCAACGGUACACCCCAGACACCACCGCCUGGCAGAUGUGACAUUUCCAUGCUGAGGUCCCAAGUGCCCCCUGACCCCACCACCACUUCUCCAGUGCCGCUCUGGGCCCCACCCAUUCGGACUGCGCAGCCAUGCUGCGCCUGCUGGCUCUCUUCCUGCACUGCCUCCCGCUGGUCUCUGGGGACUAUGACAUCUGCAAAUCCUGGGUGACCACAGAUGAGGGCCCCACCUGGGAAUUCUAUGCCUGCCAGCCCAAGGUGAUGCGCCUGAAGGAUUAUGUCAAGGUCAAAGUGGAGCCCUCAGGCAUCACGUGCGGAGACCCCCCUGAAAGGUUCUGUUCCCAUGUAAGUCACCCCAUGGCUUCUCUAUCACUGCAUUGAGGGGUGGGGGACUGUGAGCAAAGACAGACCUGGGGGUGGCUGAGCAGAACCAGAGGGCCCUGCCUGAUACAAGACCGACUCCAAGUCCCACCAGGGAAGAUGCCAAAGCCAAGCUGCCCUGAGGACCGGGGGGCUGAGUGACAUUUUGUGGGUGAAAGAAGUCUUGGCCAGCUGACCCUGGCAUGGUUUCCUGCCAGGGAUUGCACAGCAGUCCUAGUUCCUUGACUCAAAGCCAGCCCCUCCUCCUUUGCAGGAAGUCAGCAUUCAGACCAGAGAUCUGAAUACUAUCUGCAAGGUUACCCUCCAACCUGCAUGGGUUCUCACCCCCUCCCCUUGCUCUAGUGGAGCACCCUCCCAACCUGCCCAGUCCAGCCUAGUACAUAAGUAGCAUUCAUGAUCCUAGCUCAUGCCAGGCACUGACCAAGCAUUUUGAAGGAGGAAGCAGGGGUGGGGAGAUCAGGCUAGAUAGACAGGACAGCAUCUCAGCUGGUGCUAUCCCCUAGUCAAGAGGUCAGCGCUGAGGCCUUGUCAUGUGAGCUCCAAGAAGAAGGGGUCUUGGAGCUAUCAGGAACUUCAGUGCUUAGGCAAUGUUAACGAGGGCAGUGGGAAUAGCAGCAGCGUUUGACAAGAGCUCAGGAUGUGGGGUGGAAAGCCCAAGCAGUGUUACUCUACUGGGUUUUCCCCUGGGCUCCCCCAGGCUGAUUCUACCUUAAACAACGUCAGAAUGUUGAAAUGGAGGGAAACGUUGAGACAGGUCUCAGGCCAGUGUCACCAUCUCCGGGUUCUGCUCUAUCAGCUGUAGGAUGGGUGCAGCAACACAGUACAUUAAGGGGUCAAUGGCUCUGUGGAUACAAGUUGUUCAAAAUCAGAGUGGGCACAGAGAAGGUGUCCCAGACGUUAGCUUGUUCUGGUCAUAUGGAUAGGGAAACUGAGGUGGGGGUGGGGUCUUCAGGGAAGGCCCUUGGCCAAGGUCACACAGCAGAAAGUGGUGAUGCUGCUGAGUUAGGCUCAGCCUGCCUGACGCAGCUGCCUGUCCCUGGCAGAGGCUGGGCAGAGCAGCCAGAGGAGCAGGCAAGAGGGGUCCGAUGUCACCCUGCAGGUGGCUGGUGCCUCUGCGUGUCCUUGGGGAAAGCUGGGUUUAUUGCACAGUCAACCUGGUGUCCCCAGCCCAGACUCCUGAAAAUGUCUCAGUCCCUUGGGGUGGCUUCAGUCACCAUGCAGAGAGAGCAGCUAGCUCAGGAAGGCAGAUCCCUACUUGGGCUUGUCAGUGGUGAUGAGGCUGUCACUGUAGGUGGUGGCUGGGCCUGGGCCAGCUUAGAGAAGGGGAGGGAGUGAGGGAAGGAGAAAGAGAGAAGACAGCCCAGGGCUAGGAGCCAAGAUUGGAUUAUGUAUGGACAUUGUCGAGCUUCGAAAGACCACGCUGGCUCAAGACAGGCAAAGGGCCCUGAAAGUUAGAGCUGAGGCUAUAGAGCCUCCCAUUCUGCAUCCUUGUCUCAGCUCCUGUGGGAACUGCUUCAACCACACAUUUCCCAGGCAGAGUCUCAACAUGAUUUUGUCUUUUAAAUAUUAAUCAUUGCCAGGGUUUGGGACAGUUCAUGGGAAUGGCUUCUAUUCGAGUGUGUAGGAGCUACAGAUGACCACCAGAAGCAAAUAUGGGGCCCUCUCCUGGUUUGUGACCUUGAUGAUGCUGAGCUCUGGGGUCUGGAUAGGUGGGAAGUCCAGGAGGAACCUCUGAGCAUUUUAUCACUUGCUUGAUGGCUGCAAACGUUCCAUGACAGGCAGGUACAGCGUUGCCUUUGAUUACAAGUGUGAGACUAGGGAGAAUGAAGUGCCACAGGGGCAGGUGGAGGGCAGCCCUCAGAAGGUGCUGCAAGGUACACCCCAGUCUAAUCCCUUUUUAAAGAUUAGAAAGAUUGCCUAAGUCAUGCCAAGGUCAAGGAGCUUAGCAGGCAAACCAGAAACUCGUCUGUGGCCAGAGCGCGUGCUUAUCCACCAGGGUUCGUGGCUUCCCUCUCUGAGCCUCCGUUUUCUUCCUGUUUCAAUAAAACACGCUAAUGUAGGUGUAACGUCACUGCGCUGGCAGGGAGACAGCUGGGCCAGGCACUAGCAAGCACGGGCACGGGGGAGUGCUUUAAUGUGCAGUGGCCGUAAUUAUCUUACGUCACCAUUGUUAUCACUCCCUCCGUGGCUGCCUGGGUUUCUCUGCUUCCCUGGAGUAUAUUGCUUCACUCCAGCCUUGACCACAUCCCAGUCUGCACUUCUCAGCUACAGGCAGCAGCAGGUGGUAGAUGAACACCCUAAGCCAGAGCAAGUGUGCCUAGCUAGCCAGCAGAGGGCACCCUGGUGGCAGCCAGACCACCCCGUGCCCUCUUAGUCUUCUAAGCUAGGGCCAGUUCAUCCCUGCUCUCUGGCAAUCCUCCUGCUAAGGAGUAUGGGCCUGCCUGUCCCAGCAUGCAGGCAAACAGAGCAUGAACCCUGGAACAGCCUAAAGUACAAGACAGGACAAAAGGGCAGUUGCCCUUUUCAGUCCCAGGGUGUGACCCCUACUGUCCCAGGUUCCUGUCCUUCAGCAAGGCCACUAGAGAAUUGAAUUGUAAAUUCCAGCCUGGUAAGGAAGGGGAGGGGGGUAAAAGACAAGAUAAAUGAAUAAAUAAAAACCUAUUGGCUCUAAACGCAAAAAAAAAAAAAAAAA